GUAAGCCAGCCCUGGACCCAGAGGGUCCAGCAUCUGGUCAAAUAGCACCUCUACUUGAACUAGAGAAAGGCUCCACCUUUCAGAUUUUUGCAUGUCUACCAAUCAAGAAACCCACCCAAAUCCCUUUUUUCUUUAACUAUUCUCCCACCUAGCUAAGUUCAGCUUUUCCAGCCUCAGGCCUCCUACCCGAUCGUAAACCUUUUGUCUGAUAUCCACCUCAUCCCUCAGCUGUCAGUUGACUUUGGCCCCCUGCCGCUAGUAACCCUGUCCCUCUUGCCUUGGCCAGUACUGUCCCUGAAACAGAUCCUGUUGAGCACUGAGGAAGACAGUGGAGCAGGGCCUCCCCGCGAUGGGGAUGGGGUGCCUGGUGGUGGUGCCCCAGGCCCAACACACACCCAGGAGGUUGAGGAAAACCUGUUGAGCCUAGAAGUGGUCAUCAAACAACUGGAGGAGUUAGAAGAGGAAUUUUGUCGCCUAAGACCCUUCCUGUCUCAGCUUGGGGAGAUUCUGUCCCCCAACCUGGCUGCACCUGAGCGCUCUGCUCAGACAGGCCUUUCAUGAAGAGAAGAAUGGGGGAGAGGAUGCAAGGGGCCCCCAAGCCCCACAGCUUCCAUAGCAUCACACCCCAGGGGCUUUGAGAAGAGGAGAUUGGCUGAACUUGAUAGUGGACCUGCUCGGGUCCCUGCCUCCCACCCUGGCCUCUGCCUUUCUCCCUCCUGCCUUCUGCUUGGGGGACUCAGGACUUCACUUCCAGAGUACCCUCAUAAUCCCCAUUUUUCAGGCCACCUCAGUAUUGCCUAUGGGGAGGGGUCACCCCUCCAUUCCCUACCCCAAGUGCCUUUGCUGUUUUUAUAUCCUGAAUUGGAGGUUUAUUUUUAAUAUAUAUUAUCUAAGGUGA
rnacentral:lncRNA from 1 species